rnacentral:rRNA from 1 species
GACGAACGCUGGCGGCGUGCUUAACACAUGCAAGUCGAACGGAAAGGCCCUGCUUUUGUGGGGUGCUCGAGUAGCGAACGGGUGAGUAACACGUGAGUAACCUGCCCUUGACUUUGGGAUAACUUCAGGAAACUGGGGCUAAUACCGGAUAGGAGCUCCUGCUGCAUGGUGGGGGUUGGAAAGUUUCGGCGGUUGGGGAUGGACUCGCGGCUUAUCAGCUUGUUGGUGGGGUAGUGGCUUACCAAGGCUUUGACGGGUAGCCGGCCUGAGAGGGUGACCGGCCACAUUGGGACUGAGAUACGGCCCAGACUCCUACGGGAGGCAGCAGUGGGGAAUAUUGCACAAUGGGCGGAAGCCUGAUGCAGCAACGCCGCGUGCGGGAUGACGGCCUUCGGGUUGUAAACCGCUUUCGCCUGUAACGAAGCGUGAGUGACGGUAAUGGGUAAAGAAGCACCGGCUAACUACGUG